UACGUAGGGGGCAAGCGUUGUCCGGAAUCAUUGGGCGUAAAGAGCGUGUAGGCGGCUUGGUAAGUCCGCUGUGAAAGUCCAGGGCUCAACCCUGGAAAGCCGGUGGAAACUGUCAAGCUCGAGUCCGGAAGAGGCGAGUGGAAUUCCUGGUGUAGCGGUGAAAGUGCGCAGAUAUCAGGAGGAACACCAAUGGCGAAGGCAGCUCGCUGGGACGGUACUGACGCUGAGACGCGAAAGCGUGGGGAGCAAACAGG
rnacentral:rRNA from 1 species